UGGGGAAUAUUGCACAAUGGGGGAAACCCUGAUGCAGCGACGCCGCGUGAACGAAGAAGGUAUUCGUAUCGUAAAGUUCUGUCCUAUGGGAAGAUAAUGACAGUACCAUAGAAGAAAGCUCCGGCUAAAUACGUGCCAGCACCCGCGGUAAUACGUAUGGAGCGAGCGUUGUCCGGUAUUAUUGGGCGUAAAGGGUACGCAGGCGGUUUAAUAAGUCGAAUGUUAAAGAUCGGGGCUCAACCCCGUAAAGCAUUGGAAACUGAUAAACUUGAGUAGUGGAGAGGAAAGUGGAAUUCCUAGUGUAGUGGUGAAAUACGUAGAUAUUAGGAGGAAUACCAGUAGCGAAGGCGGCUUUCUGGACACAAACUGACGAUGAGGUACGAAAGCGUGGGGAGCAAAAAGG
rnacentral:rRNA from 1 species